UUUCCGUAGGUGAGCCUGCGGAAGGAUCAUUAUUGUAUAACCGAGGUGCGAGGGCUGUCGCUGACCCGAAAGGUCGUGCACGCCCGAGUGCCCUCACACACAUCCAUCUCACCCCUAUGUGCACCACCGCGUGGGUCCCCCUUUGGCUUGUUCGGAGGGGGGCUUACGUUUUCAAACAAACUUUGUAUGCAGUGUAGAAUGUAUUUUUUGUUUUUGCGAUCACGCAAUCAAUACAACUUUCAACAACGGAUCUCUUGGCUCUC
rnacentral:misc_RNA from 1 species